UCCAAGUUAUCAAGCGCCUCCCUGCCUGC
rnacentral:piRNA from 1 species